rnacentral:rRNA from 1 species
AUGGCCACUCACCCUGAGGAUGAGCACGGGGAGGCCCUCGGCGGCGACGUAGGGCGCGAUGAGCUUGGCGGAGGAGAGGCGCACGCCGAGGCUCUCGAUGAGCUGGACAACGGCACCGUCGUGCCGGCUCCGCCCCAUGAAGUACACCUUCCUGCCGAACCUGAGCGCGCCCGCCCCGGCGCUCCAGGAAGCCCAGAGCCUGAGCUCAUCAAGCCCCUGACGCCAUCGGCCAGCAUGGCUGCGUACCCCGGCGCGCGUGCGGCGAUGGCGGCUGCAUCCUCCGUCGACGCGCCGUGGUCCCGCAGAAGCUCCGCCACCGCCGCCUCGCGCGGGUCGCCGCGGGCGGAGGAGAGGGAGAUCGCGGCGUGUGCGGUGGUGGCGACGGGGCGGCGGGGCGGGACCUGGAGGCCGAGACGAAGAGGCGGGCGGGGCGUGUUCCCUGCGUGUGCCCUCGGGGCUUGGGAGACGCGUGGAUAG